rnacentral:rRNA from 1 species
GACGAACUGUGCAAACGUUAUUCGGAAUCACUGGGCUUGAAGAGUGCGUAGGCGGUUUUGUAAGUAGGGUGUGAAAGCCCCCGGCCCAACCGGGGAAUUGCGCCCUAAACUGCAAGGCUGGAGUGAGGUAGGGGUGUGUGGAACUUCUAGUGGAGCGGUGAAAUGUGUUGAUAUUAGAAGGAACGCCGGUGGCGAAAGCGACACACUGGACCUUGUCUGACGCUGAGGCACGAAGCCAGGGGAGCAAACGGG